UUAAGGAUUGUAACUUUAUAAAUAUACAAAACCAGUCAUCUUGUUGACAGAACUGUGAUGCUUUUGUUUCAGACCAGACCUGAAGGAUUUGCUGAUGGCCCUGAGGUCAAAAGUAGAUUUCAACAAAGAGGCACAUGUCGGCAAUGUUGUCAAUGUGGUCAGGGCAAUGGUGCUGGAAAGUGCUAAACGGACUUUCAACUGGCUCACAUUCGACCCAUGCAGGAAGCUAAAUGUUAUUCUUGUAGACACGUGUGGAAAGGGUGAAGGACCAAUGGAGGCUGGUGGGCGGUCCCGUAAAUUUGUCAGGCUUCUUAUUAAAGCCAUUCUGAAUCCAUUUUUUUUGUUGGACCAGAGGACCAGAAAAGCCUGGCACUUGACUCCAUAGGGGUGGGACCAUGAGCCUUCUCCGAUCGACUCUUCUGCCAGUUAUCAGAAGAACUGACCCCACCGUGCACACUGGCAGAGGUAGAUGAUGAGGAGCUGCGUGCAAUCUAUAUGGAUGCCAAGCCCAGAAGCGGCACCUUCAGCUUAGCAUCAGUUUCAUAUCAACAUGGCCCAAGCAGUGGUUUAAAGAGGGUCUAAUGACCCUUGGUGUCCUCGAUACGUUACAGUCCAGCACCACCGCAAUGUUUGUUCGUGGGGCAAACAGACUGACUGUGAAGGACCUCUACAAUCCGUUCGUGGUGAUGUACUCAGAGGAAGGAAGUAACAGGAGGAACAAAGAUGAGUUGGUGGUGGGCUUCUGGAAGGACUGGCUGAUCGAUGUCGAAGGGAGAGAUGCAUUCAUUGAGCCAGAGGAGGGGGGAGAAACUAUCCCUCGAACUCUUGAAGAUGUACUGGUUUUUGCCACUGGGGCAUCAAAGAUCCCACCGUUUGGUUUUGAUGACAAGCCAACCAUUGAGUUCCUACACUAAAGUGCUGCAGGAACAAAAAAGGAUCUUCCCAGAGGCCAACACAUGUGCGUUAAAAUUGUGGCUCCCUGUGCAUGCCACUUUUGAGUACUUUAUGAAGUGGAUGACCUUCAGUAUCCAACAGUCACCAACCUUUGGAAAGGCCUGAAAGAGGCACAGACAAUCUGGGCAGGAGUUGCUGUGUGUCUUUCAAUAUCUGGAAAUGUUGUUCCAAAAACAGACAGCAGAGGGAGUUAUUUGCUUGUAUCUACAUCUUGUUUUGUUGAUGGGAAAACAGCAGAGUGAAUAAUAUGUGAAUGCUUGGUCGAAUAGAAACAUGAAGAAAGAUGCACUAAGGAACAUAAUAUACACUGUGUACAAAACAAUAGCCACUAACUAUGCCACUUUGUUUACAUACUCAUCUCAUAUGUAUAUACUGUACUCGAUACCAUCUACUGUAUGCUGCCCUGUACCAUCACUCAUUCAUAUAUCCUUAUGUACAUAUUCUUUAUCCCCUUACACUGUGUAUAAGACAGUAGUUUUGGAAUUGUUAGUUAGAUUACUUGUUGGUUAUUACUGCAUUGUCGGAACUAGAAGCACAAGCAUUUCGCUACACUCGCAUUAACAUCUGCUAACCAUGUGUAUGUGACAAAUAAAAUUUGAUUUGAGUUGCACACCCCUUUCCCCUCAGAACAGCCAAAAACAGCAUCAUCACGGACAGCAGAAGUCUUCGCAUCGAACAUUCUGGAAUCACGCACCGAGAAGACACUUGAAGAUGUCUUGAAGAUAUGUUGUAUCCUGUAUUUACACUAACAGAUGUGCCACUCUCAAUGUCAUUGUUAUGUCACUAAGAUAUCCUGGCAUUUCCAACCUGUAGUGCGUGAUCUUUGAAAUCUUAAAAAGAAACAGGAUAUUAAAAAAAAUGAAUUUGUUAUUCCACAAAGAAAUAUGGGUUAUGUUCAACCCAUGAUUUUACAAUAACGAAGGAGUUCAGUACUGAUGUCAGUGUGGUUAUGUUGACCCAUAUACCCACACUGCAGACAAGAAUGUUUUUGCUUGGUCAUUUGUCUGCUUGGAGGGGAAUAGAGAUGUCUGCCAAGUGAAUGUUGCUAAAGUCAGAAAUAUUGAUGCCGUUUAUCUUUAUGGAAGGGAGUCGAUCAGUUUAUCACCAGCCUCCUGUCCCUACACCCUUUACAGAACUGUUAUGUAACGGUCUUAAAUGGUCUUGUUUAGUCCUUGUUAUUGCUAGAAGGGAUACAUUUGAAGUUUACUGAGAUCAAAUGGUACAAUGUUUAUAAUGAAUGUAAACCACUAAGGAAUUUAUGCAUGUCCACAGAAGUGAUAUUUCCUUUUGCCGUAGCUCUUUGCCUUAGCUUUUGUUGUUAAGCAGGACCAUUUUUAGCUAUGUUGUAUCUGUAAAUAUAGUACAGAUACAAGUUCUGUUUGAGGAGUUAAAGUUUGCAAAAGUAAAAAAAGUUUGAACAAACAUUGAAGUAUUAUUAUAAAAAGGUAACAUGUAUGCAGUAA